rnacentral:lncRNA from 1 species
GGCGCUCCGAGCCCCAGCGGCCGCGCGCGGGCCGUGACGAGCCCCGCGACGAUGAGUGGCGCGAGAACGCCGACUUCUGGCGCGUCAAGCCGGCCGAGGGCGAACGAGACCCCACCUCCAAGAAAUCGGCGGACAAGCGUGACGCCAAAGACGAGGAAGAUACUAAGUCCGACACCAAACGCACGAAAGAUUCCGACGAGGGGCCAGUCAAAACAAGCCGGACAGAGCUUGACGAAGUACAACCUUUGAAGAAAGAGGAACGGCGCAAGAUAAAACUGAAACGCAACACAAGUGCCGGAGAAAAACGGCCGGAGCCCACCGAGGCGGCGCCGGAGCCGGCUGGGGACGCUGCGACG